AUACUUGCCUGGCAGGGGAGAUGCCAUGAUCAUGAAGGUGGUUUUCCUAGGGCAAGUCUUAUCCAUUGCACUCCAGAUGUGCUGACUCCUAUGAUUUUCCCAAAUGCAGGAAACUUGACUGCAUAAUUUGUGGUAGUAGGGGACUGCAUUCCUGCUGUCCCCUA
ensembl:snRNA U1 U1 spliceosomal RNA